GAUGAACGCUGGCGGCGUGCCUAAUACAUGCAAGUCGAGCGAACAGACGAUGAGCUUGCUCCUCUGACGUUAGCGGCGGACGGGUGAGUAACACGUGGAUAACCUACCUAUAAGACUGGGAUAACUUCGGGAAGCCGGAGAUGAUAACGGAUAAUAUAUUGAACCGCAUGGUUCAAUAGUGAAUGACGGUUUUCCUGUUACAUAUAGAUGAAUCCGGGCCGGAUUAGUGAGUGGGUAAGGUAACGGCCUACCAAGGCAACGAUGCGUAGCCGACCUGAGAGGGUGAUCGGCCACACUGGAACUGAGACACGGUCCAGACUCCUACGGGAGGCAGCAGUAGGGAAUCUUCCGCAAUGGGCGAAAGCCUGACGGAGCAACGCCGCGUGAGUGAUGAAGGUCUUCGGAUCGUAAAACUCUGUUAUUAGGGAAGAACAAAUGUGUAAGUAACUAUGCACGUCUUGACGGUACCUAAUCAGAAAGCCACGGCUAACUACGUG
rnacentral:rRNA from 1 species